GACGAACGCUGGCGGCGUGCUUAACACAUGCAAGUCGAACGGAGUAGCGAACGGGGGAGUAACACGUGGGGUACCUGCCCUGCACUUCGGGAACAGCCUGGACAACGGGUUCUAAUACUGGAUCGCUUGGGAUGGGCCCUCGGCCUAUCAGCUUGUUGGGGGGGGAAUGGCCUACCAAGGUGGCGGAGGGUAGCCGGCCUUAGAGGGUGGACGGCCACAUUGGGACUGGGGAACGGGCCCGACUCCUAAGGGAGGGAGCAGUGGGGAAUAUUGCACAAUGGGCGGAAGACUGAUGCAGCGACGCUGCGUGGGGAAUGACGGCCUUCGGGUUGUAAACUCCUUUUACCAUCGACGCGGUAGAUGGAGAAGAAGCACCGGCUAACUACGUGCCAGCAGCCGCGGUAAUUC
rnacentral:rRNA from 1 species